rnacentral:rRNA from 1 species
GUGGGGAAUCUUCCGCAAUGGACGAAAGUCUGACGGAGCAACGCCGCGUGAGUGAAGAAGGUUUUCGGAUCGUAAAGCUCUUUCGUUAGGGACGAACGUGCUCUUUGUGAAUAAUGAGGAGUAAUGACGGUACCUAAAUAAGAAGCCACGGCUAACUACGUGCCAGCAGCCGCGGUAAUACGUCGGUGGCAAGCGUUGUCCGGAAUUAUUGGGCGUAAAGCGCGCGCAGGCGGGAUAUCAAGUCUGUCUUAAAAGUGCGAGGCUCAACCUCGUGAGGGGACAGAAACUGGUAUUCUUGAGUGUCGGAGAGGAAAGUGGAAUUCCAAGUGUAGCGGUGAAAUGCGUAGAGAUUUGGAAGAACACCAGUGGCGAAGGCGACUUUCUGGACGAUGUCUGACGCUGAGGCGCGAAAGCUAGGGGGGCGAACGGGAUUAGAAACCCUUGUAGUCC